ACACCUCUCUUAUUUCAUUCUUCAUGGUUGGCUAAGACAAGAACAAAGAGAAAAAAAAGAGAACAAACCCUAGUGAGAAAAAAUUCAAGGGAAAAUUGGUGGAUUUCAAGGAAUUAAGCAAGUAAAGGUGGUGAAACUUUCGAUAAGGGUCAAGAGAUUGUACCCGAAGUCCGGGAUUAGGAGUACCUCGAUUCUCGAUAUUGACAGUCAGUAAAUAGCUGAUUACGUCAAAACUUAUUAUUGGACUCGCCUCCUCAGAAAUUGUAAGUCUACAGCCUUUGUUACCUUUGAUCAUUCGAGGACCCACACGUCAUUGUAAAUUAAAUUACAUACUUUAGUUAUUUGUGUUA
rnacentral:sRNA from 1 species